rnacentral:rRNA from 1 species
UACGUAGGGGGGCAAGCGUUGUUCGGAAUUACUGGGCGUAAAGGGCUCGUAGGUGGCCAACUAAGUCAGACGUGAAAUCCCUCGGCUUAACCGGGGAACUGCGUCUGAUACUGGAUGGCUUGAGUUUGGGAGAGGGAUGCGGAAUUCCAGGUGUAGCGGUGAAAUGCGUAGAUAUCUGGAGGAACACCGGUGGCGAAGGCGGCAUCCUGGACCAACACUGACACUGAGGAGCGAAAGCCAGGGGAGCAAACGGG